AUAAAGUUAGUUUAUUUAAAACGUAAGUUUGUCAUUUUUAAGAAGCUUUUUUAGUACUUUUCG
rnacentral:tRNA from 1 species